GACGCGGCCGGCGGGGCGGACGGGCGCGGGCCGCGCGUGGCGGCGGCGAUGGGCGAGGGCGGGCUACCCCCGGCCUUCCAGCUGCUGCUCGCGCGUGUGACCAGGGCGACACGGAGACGGCGCGGCGGCUGCUGGAGCCGGGGGCGGCGGAGCCAGCCGAGCGCGGCGCGGAGCCGGAGGCGGGCGCGGAGCCGGCAGGGGCCGAGGUGGCUGGGCCCGGGGCCGCAGCGGCAGGGGCAGUCGGGGCUCCGGUGCCCGUGGACUGCUCGGACGAGGCGGGCAACACCGCACUGCAGUUCGCCGCGGCCGGGGGCCACGAACCGCUGGUGCGCUUCCUGCUGCGCCGCGGUGCCUCGGUCAACAGCCGCAACCACUACGGCUGGAGCGCGCUCAUGCAGGCGGCCAGAUUUGGGCAUGUGAGUGUGGCACACCUCCUGUUGGAUCACGGGGCUGAUGUCAAUGCCCAGAACCGGCUGGGGGCCAGUGUGCUCACUGUGGCUUCUCGGGGCGGCCACCUGGGUGUGGUGAAGCUGCUCCUGGAAGCCGGUGCCUUUGUGGACCAUCACCACCCUUCAGGCGAGCAACUAGGGUUGGGCGGCAGCAGGGAUGAGCCCUUGGACAUCACAGCCCUGAUGGCUGCCAUCCAGCACGGGCACGAGGCCGUGGUGCGUCUACUGAUGGAGUGGGGCGCGGACCCCAACCACGCAGCCCGGACCGUGGGCUGGAGCCCGCUGAUGCUGGCCGCACUCACUGGGCGGCUUGGAGUGGCCCAGCAGCUGGUGGAGAAGGGCGCCAACCCUGACCACCUCAGCGUGCUGGAGAAGACCGCCUUCGAGGUUGCACUGGACUGCAAGCACAGGGACCUUGUAGACUACCUGGACCCGCUGACCACCGUCAGGCCCAAAACAGGUCAGGCUGCAUGCCCCCCGUGGCUUCACAGAGGACCCCAAAUUGUGUUUAUGUGGCUUAAGCUGAGGAUUGCUCUACUGGAAGGACACGCUGAACUCAGAGUCCAGCCCUGCAGACCACUGAGACUGAGGAAGUGGUGUGCUUAAGUAUCGGGGGGAUUGCCUGUGACAUGCAGGUUCUGGGCCCACUCUCU
rnacentral:sRNA from 1 species